rnacentral:rRNA from 1 species
AACGAACGCUGGCGGCAUGCCUAACACAUGCCAGUCGAACGAGACCUCCGGGUCUAGUGGCGCACGGGUGCGUAACGCGUGGGAACCUGCCCUUAGGUUCGGAAUAACUCCCCGAAAGGGGUGCUAAUACCGGAUAAUGUCUUCGGACCAAAGAUUUAUCGCCUUUGGAUGGGCCCGCGUUGGAUUAGCUAGUUGGUAGGGUAAAAGCCUCCCAAGGCGACGAUCCAUAGCUGGUCUGAGAGGAUGAUCAGCCACACUGGGACUGAGACACGGCCGGGACUCCUCCGGGAGGCAGGAGUGGGGAAUAUUGGACAAUGGGCGGAGGCCUGAUCCAGCACUGCCGCGUGAGUGAUGAAGGCCUUAGGGUUGUAAAGCUCUUUUAACCGGGAUGAUAAUGACAGUACCGGGAGAAUAAGCCCCGGCUAACUCCGUG